AUCAUUUUUAGCUCACCUGGCCCGAAGAGCCAAGUGAGCUUUUCUCAUCACUUGGCGUCCGGCGUCCGUCGUCGUCCGUCGUCCGUCGUCCUGCGUCCGUCGUCGUUAACUUUUACAAAAAUCUUCUCCUCUGAAACUGCUGGGCCAAAUUUAACCAAACAUGGCCAAAAUCAUUAUUAGGGUAUCUAGUUUAAAAAUUGUGUCCGGUGACCCGGCCAACCAACCAAGAUGGCCGCCAUGGCUAAAAAUAGAACAUAGGGGUAAAAUGCAGUUUUUGGCUUAUAACUCAAAAACCGAAGCAUUUAGAGCAAAUCUGACACGAGGUAAAAUUGUUUAUCAGGUCAAGAUCUAUCUGCCCUGAAAUUUUCAGAUGAAUCGGACAACCCGUUGAUAGGUUGCUGCCUCUGAAUUGGUAAUUUU
rnacentral:lncRNA from 1 species